rnacentral:lncRNA from 1 species
UUUUUGGACAUUAUUAUUAAUUAUUAAUUUUAAAUUAUUAAUUUAUUUUUUUUGUUUGUAUAUAGUAGUCAUUGUGAGUUAAUGCAUAAAAAUAUAAUUAUGAUAUUAAAGCUUAGUUUGGUAUUGUGGUCUAUCUAAUGCUAUUAGAUAAAAUGGAAUUGAGAAAAAAGCAUAUAGAGAUAUGUUUCUACAUUCUCCGGUGCGACUGCAGAAAAUAAUCGAGUCAUCGCAAUAUGUGGAACGUAAUAUUAUGUACGUACGGAAACAAAUAUGGUAUUUUUCCAACUCCCAAACAAAGCCUAACAUUUUUUUUUGGUAUCAUACUUAUUUUUCUAUUAUUUUAAAUAUUUAUUCC